rnacentral:rRNA from 1 species
GAUGAACGCUGGCGGCGUGCCUAAUACAUGCAAGUCGAGCGAACGGACGAGAAGCUUGCUUCUCUGAUGUUAGCGGCGGACGGGUGAGUAACACGUGGAUAACCUACCUAUAAGACUGGGAUAACUUCGGGAAACCGGAUCUAAUACCGGAUAAUAUUUUGAACCGCAUGGUUCAAAAGUGAAAGACGGUCUUGCUGUCACUUAUAGAUGGAUCCGCGCUGCAUUAGUUAGUUGGUAAGGUAACGGCUUACCAAGGCAACGAUGCAUAGCCGACCUGAGAGGGUGAUCGGCCACACUGGAACUGAGACACGGUCCAGACUCCUACGGGAGGCAGCAGUAGGGAAUCUUCCGCAAUGGGCGAAAGCCUGACGGAGCAACGCCGCGUGAGUGAUGAAGGUCUUCGGAUCGUAAAACUCUGUUAUUAGGGAAGAACAUAUGUGUAAGUAACUGUGCACAUCUUGACGGUACCUAAUCAGAAAGCCACGGCUAACUACGUG